rnacentral:lncRNA from 1 species
ACUUUCAGCUCAGACACAAGACAGGUGAAUGCCUUCAUCAUGACUGCCAGAGAGGGAGGAGGCCAACCUGGCACCACCAUGGAGGUCCUCAAAUCUACCACCCUGGCAGAGGCGAGCUGUGAGAUGGCCCUGGCUUUUGUGGGACCACCUUCUGAAGGUCAUCUGGAACUGGAUGAGAAGUGCUCAAGGAUAUAAGAUGAGAAACAGCCUUAAAAAGGUGAAGUAAUUUGACCAAGGUAUAGGCAAAACAGUGGAGCCAAUAUUUGAACACGAGUCUGUCUAAAGUGGCCGUAUAUGAAAAGCAGGUUCCCCUGAUCUGCCUGGGCAGUUUCAUCCCUGCAGAGCUGGGAUGAAUGACAAAUUCAAAACCUCUCUUUACACGUGGAUUUGAACAAGAAAUCUCCAGGAAGCAGGUUUGAAGAGAUGGGAUCCAGACACCUCCUAAGCCUCUUGUUUUCAAAUUUGUCUGCAUGUUGGAAUCACCUGGCCAUCUUUUUAAAACUGCUGAUGCCUGUAUGUGCCCCCUCCUCCCAAGAUUCUGAUUUCAUUGGCUCAGGGUGAAGCCUCAGCAUCAUAAUUUUUUUUUUUUAAUAGAGUCUUGCCCUGUUGCCCAGGCUGGAGUGCAGUGGUGCAAUCUCGGCUCACUGCAACCUCUGCCUCCCAGGUUCAGGCAAUUCUCAUGCCCCAGCCUCCUGAGUAGCUGGAAAUGCAGGUGCACACCACCACACCCAGCUAAUUUUUUGUAUUUUUAGUGGAGAUAGGGUUUCACCAU